rnacentral:rRNA from 1 species
UACAGAGGUUGCAAACGUUGUUCGGAAUUACUGGGCAUAAAGCGCACGUAGGCGGUUCGUUAAGUCAUGUGUGAAAUCCCUCGGCUCAACCGAGGAAUUGCGCCUGAUACUGGCGGGCUAGAGAUCGAUAGGGGUGAGUGGAACUCCAGGUGGAGCGGUGAAAUGCGUAGAUAUCUGGAGGAACACCGGUGGCGAAAGCGGCUCACUGGAUCGAUACUGACGCUGAGGUGCGAAAGCGUGGGGAGCAAACAGG